rnacentral:sRNA from 1 species
UCGGGUAUGUACGGGUCAGUUUUCGGAUUGUAUUUAGAGAUAAGUUGAAAAGUAGACACUUUUUCUACAAAUAAUUUGCAAAGUAGGUAGUUUUUUAGUUAUUUUUUAGAAAUAGACACUUUUCUCUUUCCUCUCUAUUUAGUAAAUGAUUUAUAUAACCUUUUGUUAUUUUGUUAUGUAGUAAGAUAAAAACAAAAUUUAAGUCAAAUUUUACUUUUUCUCUUUUUU